GCUCCUACCGAUUGAGUGAUCCGGUGAAUUAUUCGGACUGACGCAGUGCUCAGCUUCUGGACGUUGCGUUGGAAAGUUUCAUGAACCUUAUCACUUAGAGGAAGGAGAAGUCGUAACAAGGUUUCCGUAGGUGAACCUGCAGAAGGAUCAAGUUUGAACAACUUUUCGGCAGUCCGCUGCUCCGUUGCCGGGGCGGCGGCGCCAAUCAGGAGUCCUCACU
rnacentral:misc_RNA from 1 species